GCCGGACGCGGUGGCGCGCGCCUGUAGUCCCAGCUACUCGGGAGGCUGAGGUGGGAGGAUCGCUUGAGUCCAGGAGUUCUGGGCUGCAGUGCGCUAUGCCGAUCGGGUGUCCGCACUAAGUUCGGCAUCAAUAUGGUGACUUCCCGGGAGCGGGGGACCACCAGGUUGCCUAAGGAGGGGUGAACCGGCCCAGGUCGGAAACGGAGCAGGUCAAAACUCCCGUGCUGAUCAGUAGUGGGAUCGCGCCUGUGAAUAGCCACUGCACUCCAGCCUGGGCAAUAUAGUGAGACCCUGUCUCU
rnacentral:SRP_RNA from 1 species